GGGAAUGUAGCUCAAUUGGCAGAGCAGGUGACUCUUAAUCACUGGGUUGCAGGUUCGAUUCCUGUCAUUCCCA
rfam:Microcoleus chthonoplastes PCC 7420 scf_1103659003793 genomic scaffold, whole genome shotgun sequence.